AGCUCCGCCCAGCCCGCGGCUCCCGGCUGUCCUGGAGAUUGCAUUCUGCUGCAGCUGGUGGACCGACCCUGGCUGGGAGCGGCGUGGGGGCUCAGAGUAGGUGGGCGCCGAGGGCCCAGCGCACCAGGGAAGCCGAGGUCGUGGGGCCGGCGCUUUCUUCCGUCUCCUGCCGCACUCCUGGGGCGGGCGGCGUUCCCUGGGCGGAAGAGAAGGUGAGCGCCGGAACGUGGCCGCAGCGCUCACCUCUAAAGCAAGUAUUUAACCUGAGAACGGGACCUCUCGAUGGAGGCACUAGAAGAGAACGGAGGUUUCUGGUAGCUUCGUGUGCACUCCACAAGCACAGCUGGCGGGCGUUAAGCUACCCACCUGUAUCUAUCACAUCCCUUGCUUCGCGUUCUUGGGAUAAAGGCAGGCGGGAAAAGCUUGGGGAGGAAAGUUGCCAGGGAUGAAAGUGGGGAGAAUUAGGGAGAGCCGAGAGUCGGUUAAGUAGGAAGACUGAACCAGGAAUAGAUAAGUGGGACUCAGUCUCUGCCUACCCUCCCAUGAGACAGUGACCUUAGGCUUUUUCUACCGCUUAGUUUCAGCCACGUGUCCUGAGCGACGCCAGACUUCUACUUGUUACAAAUUGAUGGAUUUUCCAUCUCUCAACUAACAGUAUUGGAGCUGUAAAAUCAUCAGGUUGGUUCCCGUUAUAUCUUCUCCGCUGUUACAUCGGCAGUAUUCACCUGUAUUUCUCCCACGAUAAAUACUAGUAAGUUAACAGGUCAACCGCACGUGUGCAAGAAGGUUAAGCAUUUCUAACGUAAAAAGAAACGUUGACUUUUCCUUCGUGUACAGUAAGUAUGUACGCAGGGAACCUAUUUUUCCCAGUGCCAGAGCUAAAGUUUUUCUUGAUUCAGCUAACGGAUUUUCGAGAAUGUGAUAGUAGUACUUAGCUGUGCCAAACGCCUUUCGAACAUAUUAGAUGCUCGUAACAACUCAAGUAUGUCUCAGUACACUGCAUUAUGCUUUCUCUUUGUCACAGAGGUUCUUCCCUAAUAUACUUUGUUUGAUUUCAAUCACGGUGUGAAUAGGAUUGAAUAUUCUCAAUGGAGGUCUCACAAAUUGCCAAGGGCAGUGUGCUGAGAUUCACAUUAGGUUUCAUUAUCUAUAAUACACAAAAUUUGACUUUAAUAAUUUUUUAAUAUUAAUGAUGAAUAAGCAUUAUCUUUGAAUUUUAGAUUGUUUUUCCUUCCCUGGCUUUUACAUUGAAAAUUUUUAGAAAAGUUGCAUAAUAUUCAUUCAUUCAAUGAAGAGUUUUGAGUCUCUAUUAUAUGUACCAGCAUGAGUGUAGAAACAUUAGACUCAAUCCCUGUCUUAUCCCAAAGGAGCUAAUAGGUAGGUAGAAACCCAUUUAAACAAACAGUAUUACCAGGUGCUUUGGAGGAUGUGGAUUUGUUUAUUCCCAAGCUUGGCUGCCCGUUAAAAUCACCUGGAGAGCUUUAACAACCACUGAUGCUUGCAUCCUAUGCCCAGAGAUUCACAUGUAAUUGCUCUGGGGUAUGGUUUGGGCAUCCUGCUUCCUAAAAUCUCAUCAGAUCAUUCUAAUGUACAACCAAGAUUAAGAACUACUGAUUUAUUCAUUCAGCAAAUAUGUAUUAAGGGAGGCCUUCUUUGUGCCAUGUACUGGGACUACAAGAAUGAAUAACUACCACCUGUUGCACAUGGAUAAAUACCUCUGGAGAGGUAGAAGUUCAGUUACACAAGGUCAGGGAACAGUGCACUGGUUACAACAAAUUCCCCUUGAUACUCUAUGGUCUUUUGAUCUAUUUAGCUGGGUACCAUCAUACAAACCAGACUUGUCAUAUUACUUUUAACUCUGCCUUGCAUAAUUACUGUUUUUGCAUAAUUAUUUUUAAGCUCUGUAUUUGUUGCCUGUUAAACGUUUCUAGAAACAGCUUACCCAAUAGGGUGACUCCAGCUCAGUGCUUCAAGAUGAUCUCCAGUGCUUACAACCUAGAUGGAAUAUAGACUUUAGAUGGGAAAUUCCUGAGUGUUCUUCCUCAUGCUCCUCCUUGUUACUCAAACGUGGCUUCAGGGGUUUCCAAUCGGUAUGCAUUUUCCCUCUGACGUGGGACAUGACAAUCAGGAAACUCUCUUCCUGGUACCAAGGGACAAAAACCACUAAAUAUGGACAACCUGACUCGAUCAGCAAUGCUUUUGAGGAAAGAUCUUGAUCAAAAGAGGGAAAUGUGAAAAUAAAGAAAACUUCAUUUAAAGUCGAGUCAUGAAGCCCUGAAGGGAAAGCUCUCAUGUAUGCACCACUUGUGGCUGCCUGCAUAACCAGCAGGAAGAAGAACAAUAAAAAUUAUUUUAACAACAGC
ensembl:lncRNA